rnacentral:rRNA from 1 species
UACGAAGGGGGCUAGCGUUGCUCGGAAUUACUGGGCGUAAAGGGAGCGUAGGCGGACAGUUUAGUCAGAGGUGAAAGCCCAGGGCUCAACCCUGGAAUUGCCUUUGAUACUGAUUGUCUUGAGUAUGGGAGAGGUGAGUGGAACUCCGAGUGUAGAGGUGAAAUUCGUAGAUAUUCGGAGGAACACCAGUGGCGAAGGCGACUCACUGGCCCAUUACUGACGCUGAGGCUCGAAAGCGUGGGGAGCAAACAGG